GAAUGCUGACAUAAGUAACGAUAAAGCGGGUGAAAAGCCCGCUCGCCGGAAGACCAAGGGUUCCUGUCCAACGUUAAUCGGGGCAGGGUGAGUCGACCCCUAAGGCGAGGCCGAAAGGCGUAGUCGAUGGGAAACGGGUUAAUAUUCCCGUACUUGGUGUUACUGCGAAGGGGGGACGGAGAAGGCUAUGUUGGCCGGGCGACGGUUGUCCCGGUUUAAGCGUGUAGGUGUGUGUUCCAGGUAAAUCCGGUUCACUUUAACACUGAGGCGUGACGACGAGGCACUACGGUGCUGAAGCAACAAAUGCCCUGCUUCCAGGAAAAGCCUCUAAGCAUCAGGUAACAUCAAAUCGUACCCCAAACCGACACAGGUGGUCAGGUAGAGAAU
rnacentral:rRNA from 1 species